UCUCCCCUACGGGACGCAGCAGUGGGGAAUAUUGGGCAAUGGGGGAAACCCUGACCCAGCGACGCCGCGUGAGGGAAGAAGGUUUUCGGAUUGUAAACCUCUGUCCUUGGUGACGAUAAUGACGGUAGCCAAGGAGGAAGCCACGGCUAACUACGUGCCAGCAGCCGCGGUAAUACGGAGGAUGCGAGCGUUAUCCGGAUUUAUUGGGUUUAAAGGGUGCGCAGGCGGACCAUCAAGUCAGCGGUAAAAUCGUGGGGCCCAACCCCAUCCCGCCGUUGAAACUGGCGGUCUUGAGGG
rnacentral:rRNA from 1 species